AGAAUCAACGCUGGCGGCGUGCCUAACACAUGCAAGUCGCACGAGAAAGGGGGCUUCGGUCCCUGAGUACAGUGGCGCACGGGUGAGUAACACGUGAAUCAUCUACCUUCGAGUGGGGAAUAACUGAGAGAAAUCUUAGCUAAUACCGCAUAAUACCCACGGGUCAAAGCAGCAAUGCGCUUGAAGAGGAGUUCGCGGCAGAUUAGUUAGUUGGCGGGGUAAUGGCCCACCAAGACGAUGAUCUGUA
rnacentral:rRNA from 1 species